rnacentral:snRNA from 1 species
AGCUUUGCACAGUGGCAGUAUCACAGCCAAUGAGGUUUAUCUGAGGCGCAAUUAUUGCUAAUUGAAAACUUUUCCCAAUACGACAUCAUGAUGACUUGAAAUAUAGUCAGCAUUGGCAAUUUUUGACAGUCUCUACAGAGA